rnacentral:rRNA from 1 species
UNUGACUUGAGUGCAGAAGGGGAGAGUGGAAUNCCAUGUGUAGCGGUGAAAUGCGUAGAUAUAUGGAGGANCACCAGUGGCGAAAGCGGCUCUCUGNUCUGUCACUGACGCUGAGGCUNGAAAGCGUGGGUAGCGAACAGGAUUAGAUACCCUGGUAGUCCACGCCGUAAACGAUGAGUGCUAGGUGUUAGGCCCUUUCCGGGGCUUAGUGCCGGAGCUAACGCAAUAAGCACUCCGCCUGGGGAGUACGACCGCAAGGUUGAAACUCAAAGGAAUUGACGGGGGCCCGCACAAGCGGUGGAGCAUGUGGUUUAAUUCGAAGCAACGCGAAGAACCUUACCAGGUCUUGACAUCCCGAUGCUAUUCUUAGAGAUAGGAAGUUACUUCGGUACAUCGGAGACAGGUGGUGCAUGGUUGUCGUCAGCUCGUGUCGUGAGAUGUUGGGUUAAGUCCCGCAACGAGCGCAACCCUUAUUGUUAGUUGCCAUCAUUAAGUUGGGCACUCUAGCGAGACUGCCGGUAAUAAACCGGGGGAAGGUGGGGAUGACGUCAAAUCAUCAUGCCCCUUAUGACCUGGGCUACACACGUGCUACAAUGGUCGGUACAACGAGUUGCGAGCCGGUGACGGCAAGCUAAUCUCUGAAAGCCGAUCUCAGUUCGGAUUGGAGGCUGCAACUCGCCUCCAUGAAGUCGGAAUCGCUAGUAAUCGCGGAUCAGCACGCCGCGGUGAAUACGUUCCCGGGCCUUGUACACACCGCCCGUCACACCACGAGAGUUUGUAACACC